UACGGAGGAUGCAAGCAUUAUCCGGAUUUAUUGGGCGUAAAGCGUCCGCAGGUGGUUAUGCAAGUCUGCUGUCAAAGCGCGAAGCUCAACUUCGUAAAGGCAGUGGAAACUACACGGCUAGAGUACGUUCGGGGCAGAGGGAAUUCCUGGUGUAGCGGUGAAAUGCGUAGAGAUCAGGAAGAACACCGGUGGCGAAGGCGGUGUGCUGGGUUGCAACUGACGCUGAGAUGCGAAAGUGUGGGGAGCAAACGGG
rnacentral:rRNA from 1 species